GUUACUUUCUUAUAUGCAAUGAAAUGUAGUGUGAAAUUUUCACUGUAGCACUGGAAAGGAUUAAACUUUAUACAUUCAAAGUAUUUCUUUGGUUGAAAUAAAGUGUUAACCAUGUUCUGAAGAGCGUUCUGUUGAAAAAAUUUAUAUGUGAAUUGGUCUGCAGAUGACACUUCAGCAUUAAAACAGAAGAUAUCAAGUUUUGAUGGAAAAAGAAGGAAGAAGGAAAAAUGGACCAAAACAGACCAAAACAGACCUUCAAAUGAACUCUAAAAGGUGCAAUAAA